GCACCGGUGGUUCAGUGGUAGAGUGCUUGCCUGCCAUACGGGCGCCCUGGGUUCGAUUCCCGGCCCAUGCA
rnacentral:tRNA from 1 species